AGAGUUUGAUCCUGGCUCAGGAUGAACGCUGGCGGCGUGCUUAACACAUGCAAGUCGAACGAUUAAGACGGCUUCGGCCGUGUAUAGAGUGGCGAACGGGUGAGUAACACGUGACCAACCUGCCCCGCGCUCCGGGACAACCGCUGGAAACGGCGGCUAAUACCGGAUGCUCCGGGGAGGCCCCAUGGCCUCCCCGGGAAAGCCUUAACGGCGCGGGAUGGGGUCGCGGCCCAUUAGGUAGACGGCGGGGUAACGGCCCACCGUGCCCGCGAUGGGUAGCCGGACUGAGAGGUCGACCGGCCACAUUGGGACUGAGAUACGGCCCAGACUCCUACGGGAGGCAGCAGUGGGGAAUUUUGUGCAAUGGGGGCAACCCUGACGCAGCAACGCCGCGUGCGGGACGAAGGCCUUCGGGUUGUAAACCGCUUUCAGCAGGGAAGACAUAGACGGUACCUGCAGAAGAAGCUCCGGCUAACUACGUGCCAGCAGCCGCGGUAAUACGUAGGGGGCGAGCGUUAUCCGGAUUCAUUGGGCGUAAAGCGCGCGUAGGCGGCCGCCUAAGCGGAACCUCUAAUCCCGGGGCUCAACCUCGGGCCGGGUUCCGGACUGGGCGGCUCGAGUGCGGUAGAGGCAGGCGGAAUUCCCGGUGUAGCGGUGGAAUGCGCAGAUAUCGGGAAGAACACCGAUGGCGAAGGCAGCCUGCUGGGCCGCCACUGACGCUGAGGCGCGAAAGCUGGGGGAGCGAACAGGAUUAGAUACCCUGGUAGUCCCAGCCGUAAACGAUGGGCGCUAGGUGUGGGGGGACAGUCCCCCCGUGCCGCAGCCAACGCAUUAAGCGCCCCGCCUGGGGAGUACGGCCGCAAGGCUAAAACUCAAAGGAAUUGACGGGGGCCCGCACAAGCAGCGGAGCAUGUGGCUUAAUUCGAAGCAACGCGAAGAACCUUACCAGGGCUUGACAUGCGAGUGAAGCCGCGGAGACGCGGUGGCCGAGAGGAGCUCGC
rnacentral:rRNA from 1 species